GACGAACGCUGGCGGCGUGCUUAACACAUGCAAGUCGAACGGAAAGGCCCUGCUUUUGUGGGGUGCUCGAGUGGCGAACGGGUGAGUAACACGUGAGUAACCUGCCCUUGACUUUGGGAUAACUUCAGGAAACUGGGGCUAAUACCGGAUAGGAGCUCCUGCUGCAUGGUGGGGGUUGGAAAGUUUCGGCGGUUGGGGAUGGACUCGCGGCUUAUCAGCUUGUUGGUGGGGUAGUGGCUUACCAAGGCUUUGACGGGUAGCCGGCCUGAGAGGGUGACCGGCCACAUUGGGACUGAGGUACGGCCCAGACUCCUACGGGAGGCGGCAGUGGGGAAUAUUGCACAAUGGGCGGAAGCCUGAUGCAGAAACGCCGCGUGCGGGAUGACGGCCUUCGGGUUGUAAACCGCUUUCGCCUGUGACGAAGCGUGAGUGACGGUAAUGGGUAAAGAAGCACCGGCUAACUACGUG
rnacentral:rRNA from 1 species